rnacentral:misc_RNA from 1 species
AUACGUCAUCCCCACCUUCCUCCAGCUUAUCGCUGGCGGUCUCCUGAGAGUUCCCAACUAAAUGAUGGCAACACAGGACAAGGGUUGCGCUCGUUGCGGGACUUAACCCAACAUCUCACGACACGAGCUGACGACAGCCAUGCAGCACCUGUGUUCCGAUUCCCUUUCGGGCACACCCGCCUUUCAGCAGGCUCUCGGACAUGUCAAGGGUAGGUAAGGUUUUUCGCGUUGCAUCGAAUUAAUCCACAUAAUCCACCGCUUGUGCGGGUCCCCGUCAAUUCCUUUGAGUUUUAACCUUGCGGCCGUACUCCCCAGGCGGUCGACUUCACGCGUUAGCUUCGUUACUGAGAGUGUCAAACCCCCAACAACCAGUCGACAUCGUUUAGGGCGUGGACUACCA